rnacentral:lncRNA from 1 species
UGGUGGAAUUCUGAACCGUGGGACCCCUGCAAGUGUCCCCCAGGGAGAGCACCACUUCCUCUACUGGGUGUGUGCUCAGAAAGCCUGCUACAUAAAAUGAUCAGCGCAAGCCGAUAUCUGAAGAAGGCAUCUGUACUUCUGAAGGUCAGACCCCAUGGACACCAGCAUCCUGAAGACAUGGCCCAGAGAUGUUCUCCAUCAGAAGCUCCUAAUUUUUGUGCCAUGGAGACCACUCAACCCAGCUGCCAGGCAGAUCCUGGAGUCCACUACCCAACGCCACCUCCUCCCGGAGCAUGGUGCAUCCCUGGAGCUUCAGCAGGAGCUGCGUUUAUGCAUCGCAGCCUCGGCCAGACCUUGCUCCCUAAAGAUGACCGAGCUCACCCCGAACAUGAACGUGAAGACCCUCUGCCUUCUGCCUAACAUCCUCCUCAUGUGCAGAAGACAGGACAUCUGGUAGACCACGCUUUUGUAAACAUUGACAUAUUUUAUGCUUUCAGCUUAAAAUGCUAUUACAGUUUCAGUUCCCUCUUUGCUCAGGCAUUUGGACACACUCAAGCAUGCAACCAGCGUGCCAGGGUUUGCACAUGGAGGUGUGCUGCUGCCGAAAUCUGUGUGAAGUACGUCUAUAUCUCUAAAUCUAUACUGACAUAUAACUAUGUGAGCACGC